GAUGAACGCUAGCGAUAGGCUUAACACAUGCAAGUCGAGGGGUAACGUGUUGGAAGCUUGCUUCCGAUGACGACGACCGGCGGAUGGGUGCGUAACGCGUAUGCAACUUGCCUCACAGAGGAGAAUAACCCGGAGAAAUCCGGACUAAUGCUCCAUACACUCUUUAGCACGCCUGUGCGUAAGAGGAAAGAUUUAUCGCUGUGAGAUAGGCAUGCGUCCUAUUAGGUAGUUGGUGAGGUAACGGCUCACCAAGCCGACGAUAGGUAGGGGUGCUGAGAGGCAGAUCCCCCACAUUGGGACUGAGACACGGCCCAAACUCCUACGGGAGGCAGCAGUGAGGAAUAUUGGUNCAUGGAGGAAACUCUGAACCCAGCCAGUCGCGUGAANGAAGAAUGUCCCUANGAUUGUAAACUUCUUUAGCGAGUGAGUAAGGACUUCCACGCNGUGGGAGUUUGAAAGUAGCUCGAGAAUAAGUAUCGGCUAACUCCGUGCCAGCAGCCGCGUAAUACGGAGGAUACGAAGCGUAUCCGGAAUUUAUUGGGUUAAGGGGUGGCGCAGGUGGUCCUGCAGUCAGUGGUGAAAAGCUGAGGCUCAACCUCAGCCUUGCCGUUGAAACUGCAAGACUUGAGAGUACAUGAUGUGGGCGGAAUGCGUAGUGUAGCGGUGAAAUGCAUAGAUAUUACGCAGAACUCCGAUUGCGAAGGCAGCUCACAAAGGUAUGUCUGACACUGAGGCACGAAAGCGUGGGGAGCAAACAGGAUUAGAUACCCUGGUAGUCCACGCCGUAAACGAUGAUUACUCGAAGUAUGCGAUAUGACAGUAUGCUUCCAAGCGAAAGUGAUAAGUAAUCCACCUGGGGAGUACGCCGGCAACGGUGAAACUCAAAGGAAUUGACGGGGGCCCGCACAAGCGGAGGAACAUGUGGUUUAAUUCGAUGAUACGCGAGGAACCUUACCCGGGAUUGAAAUGUAUGUGCGCCUCUUGGGAAACCGAGAGGGUUCUCUUCGGAGACACAUAUGUAGGUGCUGCAUGGUUGUCGUCAGCUCGUGCCGUGAGGUGUCGGCUUAAGUGCCAUAACGAGCGCAACCCUUAUCGUCAGUUACUAACAGGUCAAGCUGAGGACUCUGGCGAGACUGCCGUCGUAAGGCGAGAGGAAGGUGGGGAUGACGUCAAAUCAGCACGGCCCUUACAUCCGGGGCGACACACGUGUUACAAUGGUAGGGACAGAGAGUAGCCACUCGGCGACGAGGAGCGGAUCUUGAAACCCUAUCUCAGUUCGGAUCGGAGUCUGCAACUCGACUCCGUGAAGCCGGAUUCGCUAGUAAUCGCGCAUCAGCCAUGGCGCGGUGAAUACGUUCCCGGGCCU
rnacentral:rRNA from 1 species